GCACAGUUGAAGAGUCCUACAAUAAGACGAAACGGCCGUUCAGUGC
rfam:Schistosoma mattheei strain Denwood, Zambia genome assembly, scaffold: SMTD_scaffold0000181